rnacentral:snRNA from 1 species
GUGCUCACUUCGGCAACACAUAUACUAAAAUUGGAAUGAAACAAAGAAGAUUAGCAUGGCCCCUGCACAAGGAUGACACACAAAUUCGUGAAGCAUUCCAUAUUUUU